rnacentral:sRNA from 1 species
AACUCCAUUUGGCGGCGUUAAACAUUCUGGUUUCGGUCGCGAAAAUGGCCACUACGGAAUGGAAGAAUACAUCCAAGUGAAAUUCAUUAACUUAAAAUAUCGUGACUAACACAAGCUAUUAAGAAACUCCUUUGCUUCAAGCAAAGGGGUUUCUUUUUU